rnacentral:rRNA from 1 species
UACGUAGGGUGCAAGCGUUAAUCGGAAUUACUGGGCGUAAAGCGUGCGCAGGCGGUUUGGUAAGUCUGUCGUGAAAGCCCCGGGCUCAACCUGGGAAUUGCGUUGGAGACUGCAAGGCUAGAAUCUGGCAGAGGGGGGUAGAAUUCCACGUGUAGCAGUGAAAUGCGUAGAGAUGUGGAGGAACACCGAUGGCGAAGGCAGCCCCCUGGGUCAAGAUUGACGCUCAUGCACGAAAGCGUGGGGAGCAAACAGG